AAAUAUUACAGACAAUAAAUUUUGAUCCUAUAAAACGAAUGUUUUUUGUCAUAAAACGCUUACAUAAUAUAGUACACUACAAUAAAUCUUGCAUUUAAAGACACCUUAAACAAUAACUAGCGAUGCGUCAAAAAAUUUUUAUCAAUAUUCGAUAAAAAUAUGUUUAUUAGCGACGUUUAAUUAUAGUGUCGACACAUAUCAAAUAUUAAAGAUGUUAGAAUAGAACGUUGUCUAAAUAGUAUCGUCUAAAAUAUAAUUUGCUGCAGUGGUAGUAACUAUA
rnacentral:lncRNA from 1 species